rnacentral:rRNA from 1 species
GCAGUCGAACGAACUCUGGUAUUGAUUGGUGCUUGCAUCAUGAUUUACAUUUGAGUGAGUGGCGAACUGGUGAGUAACACGUGGGAAACCUGCCCAGAAGCGGGGGAUAACACCUGGAAACAGAUGCUAAUACCGCAUAACAACUUGGACCGCAUGGUCCGAGCUUGAAAGAUGGCUUCGGCUAUCACUUUUGGAUGGUCCCGCGGCGUAUUAGCUAGAUGGUGGGGUAACGGCUCACCAUGGCAAUGAUACGUAGCCGACCUGAGAGGGUAAUCGGCCACAUUGGGACUGAGACACGGCCCAAACUCCUACGGGAGGCAGCAGUAGGGAAUCUUCCACAAUGGACGAAAGUCUGAUGGAGCAACGCCGCGUGAGUGAAGAAGGGUUUCGGCUCGUAAAACUCUGUUGUUAAAGAAGAACAUAUCUGAGAGUAACUGUUCAGGUAUUGACGGUAUUUAACCAGAAAGCCACGGCUAACUACGUGCCAGCAGCCGCGGUAAUACGUAGGUGGCAAGCGUUGUCCGGAUUUAUUGGGCGUAAAGCGAGCGCAGGCGGUUUUUUAAGUCUGAUGUGAAAGCCUUCGGCUCAACCGAAGAAGUGCAUCGGAAACUGGGAAACUUGAGUGCAGAAGAGGACAGUGGAACUCCAUGUGUAGCGGUGAAAUGCGUAGAUAUAUGGAAGAACACCAGUGGCGAAGGCGGCUGUCUGGUCUGUAACUGACGCUGAGGCUCGAAAGUAUGGGUAGCAAACAGGAUUAGAUACCCUGGUAGUCCAUACCGUAAACGAUGAAUGCUAAGUGUUGGAGGGUUUCCGCCCUUCAGUGCUGCAGCUAACGCAUUAAGCAUUCCGCCUGGGGAGUACGGCCGCAAGGCUGAAACUCAAAGGAAUUGACGGGGGCCCGCACAAGCGGUGGAGCAUGUGGUUUAAUUCGAAGCUACGCGAAGAACCUUACCAGGUCUUGACAUACUAUGCAAAUCUAAGAGAUUAGACGUUCCCUUCGGGGACAUGGAUACAGGUGGUGCAUGGUUGUCGUCAGCUCGUGUCGUGAGAUGUUGGGUUAAGUCCCGCAACGAGCGCAACCCUUAUUAUCAGUUGCCAGCAUUAAGUUGGGCACUCUGGUGAGACUGCCGGUGACAAACCGGAGGAAGGUGGGGAUGACGUCAAAUCAUCAUGCCCCUUAUGACCUGGGCUACACACGUGCUACAAUGGAUGGUACAACGAGUUGCGAACUCGCGAGAGUAAGCUAAUCUCUUAAAGCCAUUCUCAGUUCGGAUUGUAGGCUGCAACUCGCCUACAUGAAGUCGGAAUCGCUAGUAAUCGCGGAUCAGCAUGCCGCGGUGAAUACGUUCCCGGGCCUUGUACACACCGCCCGUCACACCAUGAGAGUU